rnacentral:rRNA from 1 species
GAUGAACGCUGGCGGCGUGCCUAACACAUGCAAGUCGAACGGAGUUUACUGAGGAAGCCCUUCGGGGCGGAACCUAUAAACUUAGUGGCGGACGGGUGAGUAACGCGUGAGCAAUCUGCCUUUAGGAGGGGGAUAACAGCCGGAAACGGCUGCUAAUACCGCAUAAUGUAAUGAAGUGGCAUCACUUUAUUACCAAAGGAGCAAUCCGCCUUUAGAUGAGCUCGCGUCCCAUUAGCUAGUUGGGGGGGUAACGGCCCACCAAGGCGACGAUGGGUAGCCGGACUGAGAGGUUGAACGGCCACAUUGGGACUGAGACACGGCCCAGACUCCUACGGGAGGCAGCAGUGGGGAAUAUUGCGCAAUGGGGGAAACCCUGACGCAGCAACGCCGCGUGAUUGAAGAAGGCCUUCGGGUUGUAAAGAUCUUUAAUCAGGGACGAAUACAUGACGGUACCUGAAGAAUAAGCUCCGGCUAACUACGUGCCAGCCGCCGCAGUAAAAC